rnacentral:rRNA from 1 species
GGUGGGUAGUUUGACUGGGGCGGUCUCCUCCUAAAGAGUAACGGAGGAGCACGAAGGUUGGCUAAUCCUGGUCGGACAUCAGGAGGUUAGUGCAAUGGCAUAAGCCAGCUUGACUGCGAGCGUGACGGCGCGAGCAGGUGCGAAAGCAGGUCAUAGUGAUCCGGUGGUUCUGAAUGGAAGGGCCAUCGCUCAACGGAUAAAAGGUACUCCGGGGAUAACAGGCUGAUACCGCCCAAGAGUUCAUAUCGACGGCGGUGUUUGGCACCUCGAUGUCGGCUCAUCACAUCCUGGGGCUGAAGUAGGUCCCAAGGGUAUGGCUGUUCGCCAUUUAAAGUGGUACGCGAGCUGGGUUUAGAACGUCGUGAGACAGUUCGGUCCCUAUCUGCCGUGGGCGCUGGAGAACUGAGGGGGGCUGCUCCUAGUACGAGAGGACCGGAGUGGACGCAUCACUGGUGUUCGGGUUGUCAUGCCAAUGGCACUGCCCGGUAGCUAAAUGCGGAAGAGAUAAGUGCUGAAAGCAUCUAAGCACGAAACUUGCCCCGAGAUGAGUUCUCCCUGACCCUUUAAGGGUCCUGAAGGAACGUUGAAGACGACGACGUUGAUAGGCCGGGUGUGUAAGCGCAGCGAUGCGUUGAGCUAACCGGUACUAAUGAACCGUGAGG